GUGAGAUGGAAUUAGCGUUUGCACAUGCGGUUCUAUGUUGAUUCCAUCUCAUGA
rnacentral:pre_miRNA from 1 species